GUGCUCGCUUCGGCAGCACAUAUACUAAAAUUGGAACAAUACAGAGAAGAUUAGCAAAAAAACCCACAGUGAUCUGACAUAUUGGACAAUUGACUCCUUUUU